UACUGCUGGCUUCCCCGACUCACAUACUGCUGGCUUCCCCAACUCCACGCUCCCCGGAGACUCACGCGCACGCUGGGAGCGCACACUACAUGCACAGAGCCCGCGAGUGACAGGGAGGUAGAGGGGAUGCCAAUAGCCGGAGAGGAAACCAGCCAUGUCUAGAUAAAUAUCUGCCUCUCCUCUGUGAGGACGCGGCACUGUUGUAGCGAGUCGGUGAUACGUGGAUGCACAGUGCGGGGUGACGGCAAGUCACCGAGGUUUUCCUGUAAACGCCAGGAGUUUCUCUGUGGAUUUUUCACAACAUCACAAUACAUUGAAGCUUGGCUUGGACAAAUGUGAACUAUCAGCUCUGACUGUCUUACUGGUCUACCUCGUGGAGAGCUGGGCGUAUACAAAAGGUGAGUGGUCGGUGUUGUUGAGAAAGGUCAUACCUCCUUAUUGUCCUUCUUUCUGUCUAUCCCUACCCUCCUCUCCUCUUUAUUGUCGUGAACGUAAAUCGAUAAAUCCGCGAUCGUUUCAACCACACAGAAGAACCGACACAUAGACUCAAAACACGAGAUUCACAGACAGAGAAGACAUGUGGGUGACUGGCGGGUGCUCUGGUGUGGUUAGUUCCAUCUGUUCUGUUAAACAACUAUCGUCUUGAUCUCCUCUCCUUCGAUUUUGUGUUUGCUUCUCUCUUGUAACGCCUCCUAUCGUCGGCACUUAUAUGACCUUAUUGUGUUGCCAGUGCCGUAAAACACUUACUAAAACUAAAAAGACGUAGUUUCUAUGCUGUCCCUAAGGGAUCGUGAUAGUAUUAAUAUCCUGCUGGCAACACAGCUGUGUAAUAAUCAAUGACUAUCUAGCCGUAACUGCAAAACUUCACCAAAAAA